GUGGGGAAUCUUGCGCAAUGGGCGAAAGCCUGACGCAGCCAUGCCGCGUGGAUGAUGAAGGUCUUAGGAUUGUAAAAUCCUUUCACCGGCGAAGAUAAUGACUGUAGCCGGAGAAGAAGCUCCGGCUAACUUCGUGCCAGCAGCCGCGGUAAUACGAAGGGGGCUAGCGUUGCUCGGAAUUACUGGGCGUAAAGGGCGCGUAGGCGGACAGCUUAGUCAGAGGUGAAAGCCCAGGGCUCAACCUUGGAAUUGCCUUUGAUACUGGCUGUCUUGAGUUUGGGAGAGGUGAGUGGAACUCCGAGUGUAGAGGUGAAAUUCGUAGAUAUUCGGAAGAACACCAGUGGCGAAGGCGACUCACUGGCCCAAUACUGACGCUGAGGCGCGAAAGCGUGGGGAGCAAACAGGAUUAGAUACCCGGGUAGUCC
rnacentral:rRNA from 1 species